GUGCAGCAGUCGCGAAUACUUUACAAUGUGCGAAAGCACGAUAAGGGAACUCUGAGUGCCUCCUAAGGAGGCUGUUCAGGUGUCUAAAAAGCACCUGGAGUAAGGGCUGGGUAAGACCGGUGCCAGCCGCCGCGGUAACACCGGCAGCCCAGGUGGUAGCCACUUUUAUUGGGUCUAAAGCGUCCGUAGCCGGUUGAGUAAGUUCCUUGGGAAAUUUGGCUGCUCAACAGUCAAGCUUCCAGGGAAUACUGCUCGACUUGGGACUGGGAGAGGUCAGAGGUACUCCAGGGGUAGGGGUGAAAAUCCAUUAAUCCCUGGGGGACCACCGGUAGCGAAGGCGUCUGACCAGACCAGGUCCGACGGUGAGGGACGAAGGCUAGGGUCGCGAACCGGAUUA
rnacentral:rRNA from 1 species